AACACAACAUGACAGAGUAGAGACUGGUACCAACAGAAACACAACAUGACAGAGUAGAGGAUUGGUACCAGCAGAAACACAACAUGACAGAGUAGAGACUGAUACCAGCAGAAACACAACAUGACAGAGUAGAGACUGAUACCAGCAGAAACACAACAUUACAGAGUAGAGACUGGUACCAGCAGAAACUGGUAGGGCGGCAGGGUAGCCUAGUGGUUAGAGAAUUGGACUAGUAACCGGAAGGUUGCAAGUUCAAACCCCCGAGCUGACAAAGUACAAAUCUGAACAGGCAGUUAACCCAUUGUUCCUAGGCCGUCAUUGAAAAUAGAAUUUGUUCUUAACUGACUUGCCUAGUAAAAUAAAAAAAACACAACAUCGCUGAGUAGAGGACUGGUCUGGUCAUAAAAUGACUGACAAUUUGAUAGCAUGAGGAAAGAUAUUUUAAACUCUGUUACACUGGUACCAGCAGACACACAGGAACACUGAGUCCGAGAGCAGCACAGAGGACCAGCAGGAGGACAACCAGCCUGAGACCCAGAGACCAGCCAGACUCACCCAAAACCCAGGCCCAGAGCCCUCUACCCAGACCCAGAAACCCAAACCGAGAGCCCUAUAUCCAGAUACAUCUACUCAGACCCAGAGCCCUAUACCCAGACCUAGAGCCCUAUACCCAGACCCAGAGCCCUAUAUCCAGACACCCAGACCCAGAGCCCUAUACCCAGAUACCCAGCCCCAGAGCUCUCUACCCAGACACCCAGAGCCCUGUACCCAGACAAUCAGACCCAGAGCCCUGUACCCAGACAAUCAAACCCAGAGCCCUAGACCCAGAGCCCUAUACCCAGACACCCAGACUCAGAGCCCUCUACCCAGACACCCAGAGCCCUGUACCCAGACAAUCAGACCUAGAGCCCUAUACCCAGACACCCAGACCCCUGUACCUAGACAAUCAGACUCAUAGCCCUGUACCCAGACAAUCAGACCUAGAGCCCUAUACCCAGAGCCCUGUACCUAGACAAUCAGACCCAUAGCCCUGUACCCAGACAAUCAGACCCAGAGCCCUAUACCUAGACAAUCAGACCCAGAGCCCUGUACCCAGACAAUCAGACCCAGAGCCCUGUACCUAGACAAUCAGACCCAUAGCCCUGUACCUAGACAAUCAGACCCAGAGCCCCGUACCUAGACAAUCAGACCCAGAGCCCUGUACCUAGACAAUCAGACCCAUAGCCCUGUACCUAGACAAUCAGACCCGGAGCCCUGUACCUAGACAAUCAGACCCAGAGCUCUGUACCAGAGGAUCAUGGUGUGUCCUGAUCCCUGGAACCGUCUGCUCUCCAUCUCCAACCAACCUCCAAGCUCUCUCUGACCGGAGAUAACCAGAGGACACUGUCUGUACCCAAAGUCUUGCUCCCAGUCCUACGGUGGAUUGUUUCAAUAGAUCUUCUAGUGGUCCCUUUUCUUUACUCUCUGAACAUCAUAUCUCACGUCUUAUUUGAUAAAGAAUGUGAUCUUUUGGAUGUUUUCCGACAGUACUGUUUGCUGUCUCAAUACACCUAACAUGAAGACAGAGGGUACUGAGGAACUGAUGAUACAAUACUAUAUUGAAUCAGAACUUUUCCUCAUGAAUGCAUUUACAGACUUACAGUUCAUUUAGAUUUGUGAAAGAUGUGGUUUUAGGGAGACAGAGUGUGACUGUGCCAUAGAGGUGUGUUGGUAUCAGGUGGUGGUGAACAUAUGGAGAGCAGGGUAGAGGUGUCAGGGUAGGGUGAACAUAGCUGUAGAACUGUCAGGAUGAUGUAUGAUAGCUGUAGAGGUGUCAGGAUGAUGUAUGGUAGCUGUAGAGGUGUCAGGGUGAUGUAUGGUAGCUGUAGAGGUGUCAGGAUGAUGUAUGGUAGCUGUAGAGGUGUCAGGGUGAUGUAUGGUAGCUGUAGAGAUGUCAGGGUGAUCUAUGAUAGCUGUAGAGGUGUCAGGAUGAUGUAUGAUAGCUGUAGAGGUGUCAGGGUGAUCUAUGGUAGCUGUAGAGGUGUCAGGGUGAUCUAUGAUAGCUGUAGAGGUGUCAGGGUGAUGUAUGGUAGCUGUAGAGGUGUCAGGAUGAUGUAUGCAAGCUGUAGAGGUGUCAGGGUGAUGUAUGAUAGCUGUAGAGGUGUCAGGGUGAUGUAUGAUAGCUGUAGAGGUGACAGGAUGAUUUAUGAUAGCUGUAAAAGUGUCAGGAUGAUGUAUGGUAGCUGUAGAGGUGUCAGGAUGAUGUAUGAUAGCUGUAGAGGUGUCGGGGUGAUGUAUGAUAGCUGUAGGGGUGUCAGGGUGAUCUAUGGUAGCUGUAGAGGUGUCAGGAUGAUGUAUGAUAGCUGUAGAGGUGUCAGGAUGAUGUAUGAUAGCUGUAGAGGUGUCGGGGUGAUGUAUGAUAGCUGUAGGGGUGUCAGGGUGAUGUAUGGUAGCUGUAGAGGUGUCAGGAUGAUAGCUGUAGGGGUGUCAGGAUGAUGUAUGAUAACUGUAGGGGUGUCAGGAUGAUAGCUGUAGAAGUGUCAGGAUGAUGUAUGAUAGCUGUAGGGGUGUCAGGAUGAUAGCUGUAGAAGUGUCAGGAUGAUGUAUGAUAGCUGUAGAGGUGUCAAGGUGAUCUAUGAUAGCUGUAUAGGUCCCAGGGUGAUCUAUGAUAGCUGUAGAGGUGUCAGAGUGAUCUAUGGUAGCUGUAGAGGUGUCAGGGUGAUCUAUGAUAGCUGUAGAGGUAUCAGGGUGAUGUAUGAUAGCUGUAGAGGUUCCAGGGUGAUGUAUGAUAGCUGUAGAGGUGAUGUAUGAUAGCUGUAGAUGGCUGUAGAGGUGUCAGGAUGAUAGCUGUAGGGGUGUCAGGAUGAUUUAUGAUAGCUGUAAAAGUGUCAGGAUGAUGUAUGAUAACUGUAGGGGUGUCAGGAUGAUAGCUGUAGAAGUGUCAGGAUGAUGUAUGAUAGCUGUAGGGGUGUCAGGAUGAUGUAUGAUAGCUGUAGAGGUGUCAGGAUGAUAGCUGUAGAAGUGUCAGGAUGAUGUAUGAUAGCUGUAGAGGUGUCAGGAUAAUGUAUGAUAGCUGUAGAGGUGUCAGGAUGAUGUAUGAUAGCUGUAAAAGUGUCAGGAUGAUGUAUGAUAGCUGUAGAGGUGUCAAGGUGAUCUAUGAUAGCUGUAUAGGUCCCAGGGUGAUCUAUGAUAGCUGUAGAGGUGUCAGAGUGAUCUAUGGUAGCUGUAGAGGUGUCAGGGUGAUCUAUGAUAGCUGUAGAGGUGUCAGUGUGAUGUAUGAUAGCUGUAGAGGUUCCAGGGUGAUGUAUGAUAGCUGUAGAGGUGAUGUAUGAUAGCUGUAGAUGGCUGUAGAGGUGUCAGGAUGAUAGCUGUAGGGGUGUCAGGAUGAUUUAUGAUAGCUGUAGAGGUGUCAGGAUGAUAGCUGUAGAAGUGUCAGGAUGAUGUAUGAUAGCUGUAGGGGUGUCAGGAUGAUAGCUGUAGAAGUGUCAGGAUGAUGUAUGGUAGCUAUAGAGGAGCCCGAAUGAUGUAUGGUAGCUGUAGAGGUGUCAGGUCAUCUAUGGUAGCUGUAGAGGUGUCAGGGUGAUGUAUGACAGCUCUAAUCACUGCAUCUGACAACCUUCAACUAGAGGAGGAUACUCUGCCACCAGUCGACCCAGCACACCAGUCCAUUCAGCAGUCCGCCCAGGUCAGCAAUGCCCAUUUGUCCCUCCCGGAUAAAUAUGACGGGGUAGAGGAUUGGUACCAGCACGCAACCCCAUCUAAGUGGCUUCCUACUCAAGUGCUCCCUCUAUUUUGCACAACAGAUGGGAGGCCUCACCACCGAGAGGUCCCAGGUUGCCAUGGUUAUUUCUCUGCUGACUAGGAGGGGGUUGGAGAGGGCUUCAGCCGUCUGGGAGAGAGGAGAGGAGGAGCUGGCUUCGUAUGAGGGGUUCAUGGCUCUGUUCAGAUGUAUCUUCGAUCAUCCGCCGUAGGGCAGAGAGGGGAGUGAGCUUCUAUUCCAACUACGGCAAGAUGAACAACCCGCUGCCGAGUAGGCGCUCACCUUCCAGACAGUAGCAAUAUCCAGUGGAUUGAAUGAGCCGGCACCCCGUACGUUAUUCAGAUGAGGACUGCGCAGGGAGGUCCAGACGCAACUGGCAUGUCGAGACGACAACCUCUCCUUGGAGCCUGAACGAUGCAGACGGAAACAGCUGGGGCUCUGUCCCUAUUGUGGUCAAGGGGGGCACCAGCUUCAGCAGUGUCCGGUACAUCCCAACUCGGUAUCCCUGGUCACAUCUGUCCAUUGAUUUUGUCACUGAUCUCUGAUGCUUUCACCACCAUUUUGGAUUCUCUAAAUCCUGCCGUUUUAUCCCCCUCUGGUCUCCAGGUUGCUAAGGCAGUGUUUCAGCAGGUCUUCUGGCAUUAUGGCCUUCCGGAGGACAUCGUCUCCGACCGUUGCCCCCAAUUCGCAUCACGGACAUGAAGAGCCUUCAUGGAGAAGUUUGAGGUCACGGUCAGCCUCAGUCUAAAGGGCAGGUGGAGAGGAUGAACCAGGAGCUGGGGAAGUUCCUGAGGAGCCACUGCCAGGACCGGCAGGGGGAGUGGGCCCAAUUCCUUCCAGAGGCGGAGUACGCCCAGAAUGUGUUACGUCACUCCUCCACUAGGCUGACUCCAUUCCAUUGUGUUCUGGGUUGUCAGCCGGUCCUGGCUCUGUUGACCCCGGGCCAGACCGAAGCUCCUGCGGUGGUUUAGGCACACAGAAAAAGUGUGGAGCGAUACUCACGUCAGACUAAAGCGCACCGUCCAAUGUCAGGAGUAGAAGGAUUGCCACUGCAGUUAAGCUCCUGUGUUCCAUCAUGUUCUACCAGGAACCUCCCACUCCCUGCAAGAAGCUGAACCCCGGUUUGUGGGGCCGUUCAAGGUUCUCCGAAGGGUCAACGAGGUGACGUAUAUAUUACAGCUACCCAGUGACUACCGUAUCUUACCUUCCUUUCAUGUCUCCCUUCUCAGGCCGGUGGUUCCUGGUCCCCUGGCUAAAGCUGUCCCCUCGUGGGGGGGGGAUUCUGUCACGUCUACUCCCACUCUCCUUCUUCGGCGCUCGACGUUGCCGAUUUACAAAUCACUGCCUCUGACAACCAUCAUUACGUACACCAUCGUUACCCGCACUAGCACCUCAUUAUGAGACUCACCUGGACUCCAUCCCUUCCCUGAUUGUCGCUCCCUUUGGUUCAUUCCCCAGGCAGUAUUGGUUAUGUGUUUAUGUCCAGACGCUACUCUUGUUUUGUAUCGUUCCAUGUUCAUCGUGUUAUUAAACUCACCACCUGCACCUGC